GACGAACGCUGGCGGCGUGCUUAACACAUGCAAGUCGAACGGAAAGGCCCUGCUUUUGUGCGGUGCUCGAGUGGCGAACGGGUGAGUAACACGUGAGUAACCUGCCCUUGACUUUGGGAUAACUUCUGGAAACUGGGGCUAAUACCGGAUAGGAGCUCCUGCUGCAUGGUGGUCGUUGGUAAGUUUCGGCUGUUGGGGCUGGACUCGCGGCUUAUCAGCUUGUUUGUGGGGUAGUGGCUUACCAAGGCUUUGACGGGUAGCCGGCCUGGGAGGGUGACCGGCCACAUUGGGACUGAGAUACGGCCCAGACUCCUACGGGAGGCAGCAGUGGGGAAUAUUGCACAAUGGGCGGAAGCCUGAGGCAGCAACGCCGCGUGCGGGAUGACGGCCUUCGGGUUGUAAACCGCUUUCGCCUGUGACGAAGCGUGAGUGACGGUAAUGGGUAAAGAAGCACCGGCUAACUACGUG
rnacentral:rRNA from 1 species